UUUUAUUUCUUCCAAAUAUUUCACAUACAGUAUUCUAACACCAUACUUCUUCGCGUUAAAAGUAAAGUUACCUAGAAAAUAUAUCUCAAGCUCAUCGCAUUCUUGAUCCGAGCAAUCUGCUGUUAGUAAAUUCUUGGGUUCACAUUUAUCCGCCAAGGAAAAUGAAGAGAAAGGUGAUCUUUCAUUAUGAGCCAGUUAAAAGCACGCCACUAAGUAAGUCGCUAUUUACAAAUAUUUCUGGCUCAGGUCUGUUCUCUUUUACAUCGAAAAUUAACCUCUGAUUCUUUUAUAAAUUAAAAUUGACUUCUUUUUGUCAGGUUUUUUGCUCUCAACUAUGCUGCCUGCACUGUGUUGCGGGUAGAAAAUCGCACUUGAAAUAGUUUGGUGAUGGGAUUAGGUUCUCAUGCAAAGCUGUAUAUGUUGCUUAGGAUCGCAUCAGUAUUUCAUCUUCCCAACAUUUUCUUCCACUAAGCUCAGUAAUGCCGCUGAUUCAAUGUUUGCAGAUUAUGAUGUAUGUCGAAACCAUCUUUAAAUCGAGUUUUGGAAAAUAGAAAUCGACUUUAAGAAAAACGAAAAUAGGAGUCGCCACCAAUCUUUUUAGGUGUGAUUGGAUCACCUUAUAAAAUGUUUUGUUUUAAAACAUUAAUUUUGG
rnacentral:lncRNA from 1 species